GGAAGUGAGGGCGAUCUGGUUGCGACAUCUGUCACCCCACUGAUCUCCAGGGUUGAUUCGGCUGAUGUGGUUGGGUAUGUGGGUGUCGCCUUCUUCCCUCACCGCUCCAUGUGCGUCCCUCCCGAAGCUGCGCGCUUGGUCAAAGAGGACAGCCUUACCCCAAUAGAGACUUCUGUGUAGGGUAUACGAGUAGCUAGCUGUGCUCCCCUGCUAGAACCUCCAAACAAGCUCUCAAGGAUCCUUAUGCCAGUCCUUGGCACUUUGUGCCAUGUGAGCUUAACCUGCUGUGCUACUGCCAGGU
rnacentral:snRNA from 1 species